rnacentral:ncRNA from 1 species
CGGAACUCAUAAGGCAAUGUGUUGCCGAAAUCGUCUGCAAUCCGGGCAGCAUCACGCAAGUGGUGUGACGACCGCGUUUGCUGCUGCGGCAGCCAUUUU